rnacentral:rRNA from 1 species
GUGAGGAAUCUUCGGCAAUGGGGGCAACCCUGACCGAGCGACGCCGCGUGCGGGAAGACGGCCUUCGGGUUGUAAACCGCUUUUCUGUGGGACGAGAAACGGACGGUACCACAGGAAGAAGUCUCGGCUAACUACGUGCCAGCAGCCGCGGUAAUACGUAGGAGGCGAGCGUUGUCCGGAGUUACUGGGCGUAAAGGGUGCGCAGGCGGCGGUUCGCGUGGCUAGAUGAAAUCUCCUGGCUUACCUGGGAGAGUGGUAGCCAGACGGGAUCGCUUGAGGGUCGGAGAGGGGCGUGGAAUUCCGGGUGGAGCGGUGAAAUGCGUAGAGAUCCGGAGGAACACCGACGGCGUAGGCAGCGCCCUGGACGACACCUGACGCUGAGGCACGAAAGCUGGGGGAGCGAACAGGAUUAGAAACCCGGGUAGUCC